rnacentral:rRNA from 1 species
UGUACCUACGGGGGGCAGCAGUGAGGAAUAUUGGUCAAUGGGCGGAAGCCUGAUGCAGCGACGCCGCGUGGGCGAUGGAGUGCUUCGGCAUGUAAAGCCCUAUCAGCAGGGAAGAAAAUGACGGUACCUGACUAAGAAGCCCCGGCUAAAUACGUGCCAGCAGCCGCGGUAAUACGUAUGGGGCAAGCGUUAUCCGGAUUUACUGGGUGUAAAGGGAGCGUAGGCGGCCUGGCAAGCCUGAUGUGAAAUACCGGGGCCCAACCCCGGGGCUGCAUUGG